rnacentral:rRNA from 1 species
AUUGAACGCUGGCGGCAGGCCUAACACAUGCAAGUCGAACGAGUGGCGGACGGGUGAGUAAUGUCUGGGAAACUGCCUGAUGGAGGGGGAUAACUACUGGAAACGGUAGCUAAUACCGCAUACCAUCAGAUGUGCCCAGAUGGGAUUAGCUAGUUGGUGGGGUAACGGCUCACCUAGGCGACGAUCCCUAGCUGGUCUGAGAGGAUGACAGGCUAAACUGGAACUGAGACACGGUCCAGACGCCUACGGUAGGCCGCAGUGGGGAAUAGGGGACAAUGGGAGAAAGGCUGAAGGAGCUAUGCAGCGUGUAUGAAGAAGGUCUUAGGGUUGUAAAGUUCUAUCAGCGGGUAGGCGGUACCGGGAGAAGAAGCACCGGCUAACUACGUGCCAGCAGCCGCGGUAAUAC